AUGAUGAUGUCACACAUUCUCCUGCUGGGCACCCUGGGGCUCCUUGUUCAGGAUUCAUCAGGAGAAAUCACUCUGACUCAGUCUCCUGGAUCUCAGUCUGUUAGUCCAGGACAGACUGUCUCUAUCACAUGUAAAGCCAGUUCAUCAAUGAGUAGCUACCUCCACUGGUACCUUCAGAAACCUGGAGAAGCUCCUAAACUCCUGAUUAAUUAUGCCACAACCCUUCAGUCUGGAGUUUCAAGUCGUUUUAGUGGAAGUGGAUCUGGGACUGACUUCACUCUGACCAUCAGUGGAGUCCAGGCUGAAGAUUCAGGAGUUUACUUCUGUCAGCAGGGAGGCCAAAGCUACCCGUUCACACAGUGA